rnacentral:rRNA from 1 species
GAUCCUGGCUCAGGAUGAACGCUAGCUACAGGCUUAACACAUGCAAGUCGAGGGGCAGCAUGGUCUUAGCUUGCUAAGGCUGAUGGCGACCGGCGCACGGGUGAGUAACACGUAUCCAACCUGCCGUCUACUCUUGGCCAGCCUUCUGAAAGGAAGAUUAAUCCAGGAUGGCAUCAUGAGUUCACAUGUCCGCAUGAUUAAAGGUAUUUUCCGGUAGACGAUGGGGGUG